UGACCUCAAAUCAGGUAAGACCACCCGCUGAACUUAAGCAUAUCAAUAAGCGGAGGAA
rnacentral:rRNA from 1 species